rnacentral:rRNA from 1 species
UACGGGGGGGGCAAGCGUUGAUCGGAAUUACUGGGCGUAAAGGGCUCGUAGGCGGCCAACUAAGUCGGACGUGAAAUCCCUCGGCUUAAGCGGGGAAUGGCGUCCGAUACUGGAUGGCUUGAGUCAGGGAGAGGGAUGCGGAAUUCCAGGUGUAGCGGUGAAAUGCGUAGAUAUCUGGAGGAACACCGGUGGCGAAGGAGGCAUCCUGGACCGGCACUGACGAUGAGGAGCGAAAGCCAGGGGAGCAAACGGG